UAAUACGUAGGGUGCAAGCGUUGUCCGGAAUUAUUGGGCGUAAAGAGCUCGUAGGCGGUCUGUCACGUCGGCUGUGAAAACCCGAGGCUCAACCUCGGGCCUGCAGUCGAUACGGGCAAACUAGAGUGUUGCAGGGGAGACUGGAAUUCCUGGUGUAGCGGUGAAAUGCGCAGAUAUCAGGAGGAACACCGGUGGCGAAGGCGGGUCUCUGGGCAACAACUGACGCUGAGGAGCGAAAGCGUGGGGAGCGAACAGGAUUAGAUACCCUGGUAGUCCACGCCGUAAACGUUGGGCGCUAGGUGUGGGGGCCAUUCCACGGUCUCCGUGCCGCAGCUAACGCAUUAAGCGCCCCGCCUGGGGAGUACGGCCGCAAGGCUA
rnacentral:rRNA from 1 species